AGGGCUGGGGAAGACCAGUGGAUUACAGACGGGCCUGCAAUAGCGUCGGAUCUCUUGCCUGCCUACAGUGAAUUUUAAAUAAAGUUGCCCGGGGAAGGCCUGAGGUGAUCGUUUUCUGAACGGCUGUCACUGAACUCAGGGGGUUCGUUUUGCCUGCGCGCAUCAAAGCCAAAGGGGACACCAACAAGCGUUUGCAGCAAAGAAAGUAGAGGUUUCUUUAAGGAAAUGGCACCAAACCCGGAGACACAGAUCUUAGCAGACUGGUGAUCAGACUUCCUCGUUUAAAAAGAAGCUUUGAAAACAGAGGCCCAUUGACGUCAGCUCCUCCCAUCAGACCAUAGAGAACCCAGCGACCAUCAAGAGCCAGGCAGUUGACAUUUUUCUCCCAGUAGGAUCCUCCUAUGCAAUCUAUGAUAAGGUUGACUCCAGUGCCUUCCACAUGAAACACAAAUUGUGAUGCUAGUCAGACACAGAAAGCUUGGUGCAAAAUAAGAUCCCAUGGUAUAUGUGUGGAUAUAUGGGUAUAAAUAAAUACAGCUGCAAGUGA